rnacentral:sRNA from 1 species
GCUGGGUGUGGUGGCACAUACCUGUAAUCCCAACGACUCAGGAGGCUGAGGCAAGAGGAUUGCAGGUUUGAGGCCAGUCUUGGGAACUUAGUGAGGCCCUGAGCAACUUAGCAAAAUCCUGUCUCAA